rnacentral:lncRNA from 1 species
GCCGCCCUACGAGUGCGCGGUGAGCUCCUACUCUGAUUCCCCGCGACCUCGGCUUCGAUCCAUGCGUUUUUACGUCGUUGUUCACCAUGGACCGAGCUCCUGUGUUCAUGCACGCCUUGCAAGCUCCCAGCCAUGUUCGCGCCCCUGCUGCUCCUUGUGCUGCUUUGCUGUUUGUUGCGUUGGCUGUGUUGCUGCUUGCCACUACUCCUGCUAGCUAUUGUUUGCUAGCCGCUGCUCUUGCUGUUGCUGCUGCGUCGCUGCAGCUCUGCUACUACUGCGCUGCUUACUGCUGCCGCUACUUCUGCCAGCCGCCGCCGCCGUUGCUGCUCCGAGUCUGCGCGCUGCGCGCAGCUGCCCGCACCAUGCCUUGCGCGUGCCCCAGCCGCACCAGCCCCAUGUAGAGGCGUGCGCCACUGCAGGCUGUUGUUCCUGGCCAAGACUCGUGCGUGCCCAGCCAUGGGAAUGGUUGUGCCUAUGGCCGGCCUUGUUUGAUUACUAGUAGGUUUAGUUCAGCGAUAUUUUAAUGCUAAUUUAGUAUAGUAGUAGAUGACAUGUAGGACCCUAUUAAAUAAGUUAGAUUUAAUUAUUUGAUUAGGUAAUAGUUUAUGACAUGUGGGCUACAUUUGCCCUUUUAACUAGUCAAAUUGACUUGGUCAAUUUGGAUUAAACUAGAUAUAAUAAUUUCAGAAAAUUAUUAAAAGUUGAAAAUUAAUAUAUAAAAAACCGUAGCUCGGAUGAAAAAACUUUGUACAUGAAAGUUGCUCAGAACGACGAGACGAAUCCGCCCGUUCGUCCGCCAUGCAUCCUUAGCAUAGCAAACACGCAACUUUCCCCCUCCGGUUCAUCUGUCCGAAAACGCGAAACACCGGUGAUAUUUUCUCGAAUGUUUCCCCCCUUCACCGGUACCACCUCUUACCGCGUUAUGGCACCCCUAGCACCGUUAUUUGUCAUGUCAUGCAUCGCUAUGCAUCUGUUUGCUUAAUAUUUAUUGUUUCUUCCCCCUCUUCUCUCCCUAGACACCGAGACCGACGCCGCUACUACCCAGUACGACUACGGUGUUGACGACCCCUCUCUCUUGCCAGAGCAAGAAGGAAAGCCCCCCUUUGAUCACCGGAUAUCGCCUACUCUUCUCUCUACUGCUUGCAUUAGAGUAGUGUAGCAUGUUACUGCUUUCCGUUAAUCCUAUUCUGAUGCAUAGCCUGUCAUUGUUGCUCCAGGUGUUGAUACCUUACCUGCAAUCCUAAUGCUUAGUAUAGGAUGCUAGUUUAUCAUCAGUGGCCCUACAUUCUUGUAUGUCUGCCAUACUAUACUAUCGGGCCAUGAUCACUCGGGAGGUGAUCAUGGGUAUAUACUAUAUACUUUAUACAUGAUACAUGUGAUUACUAAAGUCGGGUUGGCU